rnacentral:rRNA from 1 species
UUGAUGCUGUCGUUUACUCGAACGUGCUUGCUUCUCUUAAAUCCAUAUACACCUGUGCACACUUUUCAAGGUUCUGUGUUGUUUUCUGGAUGGCAAUCAGGCAACUGAGCGCUGGAUAGAGGGGGAUAUCAGGACUUUGUUAAACACAAAACAAACUCUUUAAUGUUAUACGAAUGUUUACUUGCCGCAAGGCAGAAAAUUAAUACAACUUUUAACAACGGAUCUCUUGGCUCUCGCAUCGAUGAAGAACGCAGCGAAAUGCGAUAAGUAAUGUGAAUUGCAGAAUUCAGUGAAUCAUCGAAUCUUUGAACGCACCUUGCGCUCCCUGGUAUUCCGGGGAGCACGCCUGUUCGAGUGUCAUGAAACUAUCAAGUCUAUUGGUUUUUAUUAAUCAGUAUGGCUUGGAUUUGGAUCUUGCCGUGCUUAGUCUCGGCUGGUCCUAAAUAUAUUAGCUGGCCCUUGUGAAGGCUUGGUUCUACUCGAAGUGAUAAUUAUCUAACUUUGAGGACAUUCUCCGGAAUGGCCAGACUUUUCUCGGACUGCUUAUAGUCGUCUUCGGACAAUAUAACUUUCAAAUCUGACCUCGAAUCAGGUGGGACUACCCGCUGAACUUAAGCAUAUCAAUAAGGCGGAGGAA